rnacentral:lncRNA from 1 species
AAGUGGUGUAAUGACCCUGAGCAUGGUUUAGCGGCACUGUCGAUAGCGCGCUGGACUUCGGCCAAGAAGAGAUAAACAGCAGUGUGGACACGGACGCGGACAGAGACAGGGUCUGGUGUCUAUCGCCCAGACGGAGACCCUCUGUGUCGGAGGGUCGCCAUGGUGACGGCCAGGGCCCAUCCCAGAUGGGGUCCAUGUUACAGACACAAAAACCCCUCCUACUCGUCCCCCUACUCGUCCCCAUGCAGCGAGCAGACGUGCCACUGCUGCUCCACGGCUCUGGGCCCGUUUGUGUGGCUGCUAUGUGGUGGCAGCAGGCAGGCAGAGGGGAUUCAACCCAGGACCUGAGUCAGCCUGCCACCCCCUCAGGAUAUAGGUCAGCUCUGGUGAAGUGGCCCACGGGGAGAGAAGGAGAGGUGAGAGAGCGUGACGUGACUGGCUGGGAGACUGCAUGGGACUCUCUCUCUCUCUCAAUUCAAUUCAAUUUAAGGAGCUUUGUUGGCAUGAGAAACAUAUGUUUACAUUGCCAAAGCAAGUGAAAUAGAUAAUAAACAAAAGUGAAAUAAACAAUAGAAAAUGAAC